GCCUCCUACAAAAUGACGAAAAGACAGCAUAUGGAUCAUUAGGAUGGCAAAACCCUUACUAGGACCAGGAAUUUACUAAGAUGAGAGAGCUUGCUGAGGACACAUUCACUGGGUAACUGUCAUAUCGAUAUGCACACUUGGUCAAUACAACAGUCUAUGUGUUAGAGCUGGGAAGAUUGGGUACAACGUCAACAUCGUCACAGACACUGAUUAAUUCACCAAAAAUCGGAGGAGGAAGUGGUGCAGUUUGGCAUUUUUGUACUUAUGGCCUUGUCCUGGCAUUGGCU